UACGUAGGGUCCGAGCGUUGUCCGGAAUUAUUGGGCGUAAAGGGCUCGUAGGCGGUUCGUCACGUCGGGAGUGAAAACUCGGGGCUUAACCCCGAGCCUGCUUCCGAUACGGGCAGACUAGAGGUAUGCAGGGGAGAACGGAAUUCCUGGUGUAGCGGUGAAAUGCGCAGAUAUCAGGAGGAACACCGGUGGCGAAGGCGGUUCUCUGGCAUGUCCUGACGCUGAGGAGCGAAAGUGUGGGGAGCGAACAGG
rnacentral:rRNA from 1 species